rnacentral:rRNA from 1 species
AUUGAACGCUGGCGGCCGGCCUAACACAUGCAAGUCGAACGACUGGCGGCCGGGUGAGUAAUGUCUGGGAAACCGCCUGCCGGCGGGGGAUAACUACUGGAAACGGUAGCUAAAACCGCAUACUAUCAGAUUCGCCCAGAUGGGAUUGGCUCGUUGGUGGGGUAACGGCUCACCAAGGCGACGAUCCCUACCUGGUCUGAGAGGAUGACCAGCCAAACUGGAACUGAGACACGGUCCAGACUCCUACGGGAUGAAGCAGUAGGGAAUAUUGCACAAUGGGCGCAAGCCUGAUGCAGCCAUGCCGCGUGUAUGAAGAAGGCCUUCGGAUUGUAAAGUACUUUCAGCGGGGAAGCGUUACCCGCGGAAGAAGCGCCGGCUAACUCCGUGCCAGCCGCCGCGGUAAUUC